UACGGGGGGAGCAAGCGUUGUUCGGAUUUACUGGGCGUAAAGGGCGCGUAGGCGGCCCUCUUAGUCGCGUGUGAAAGCCCCGGGCUCAACCUGGGAACGGCGCGCGAAACGGGAGGGCUGGAGUUCGGGAGAGGAGAGUGGAAUUCCCAGUGUAGAGGUGAAAUUCGUAGAUAUUGGGAAGAACACCGGUGGCGAAGGCGGCUCUCUGGACCGAGACUGACGCUGAGGCGCGAAAGCGUGGGGAGCAAACAGG
rnacentral:rRNA from 1 species